rnacentral:rRNA from 1 species
GGUUGUAAAGCACUUUUGUCCGGAAAGAAAAGCGCUCGAUUAAUACUCGGGUGUUAUGACGGUACCGGAAGAAUAAGCACCGGCUAACUUCGUGCCAGCAGCCGCGGUAAUACGAAGGGUGCAAGCGUUACUCGGAAUUACUGGGCGUAAAGCGUGCGUAGGUGGUUUGUUAAGUCUGAUGUGAAAGCCCUGGGCUCAACCUGGGAACUGCAUUGGAAACUGGCUUACUAGAGUGCGGUAGAGGGGUGUGGAAUUCCCGGUGUAGCAGUGAAAUGCGUAGAUAUCGGGAGGAACAUCUGUGGCGAAGGCGACACCCUGGACCAGCACUGACACUGAGGCACGAAAGCGUGGGGAGCAAACAGGAUUAGAUACCCUGGUAGUCCACGCCCUAAACGAUGCGAACUGGAUGUUGGGGGCAACUUGGCCCUCAGUAUCGAAGCUAACGCGUUAAGUUCGCCGCCUGGGAAGUACGGUCGCAAGACUGAAACUCAAAGGAAUUGACGGGGGCCCGCACAAGCGGUGGAGUAUGUGGUUUAAUUC